ACAGCAGCAGCCACGGUAAUACGUAGGGUGCAAGCGUUAAUCGGAAUUACUGGGCGUAAAGCGCGCGUAGGUGGUUUGUUAAGUUGGAUGUGAAAUCCCCGGGCUCAACCUGGGAACUGCAUCAAAAACUGGCAGGCUAGAGUAGGGCAGAGGGUGGUGGAAUUCCCGGUGUAGCGGUGAAAUGCGUAGAGAUCGGGAGGAACAUCAGUGGCGAAGGCGGCCAUCUGGGAUAAUACUGACGCUCAUGCACGAAAGCGUGGGGAGCAAACAGGAUUAGAUACCCGCGUAGUCCCUGUCUCUUAUAA
rnacentral:rRNA from 1 species